CAAUAGCGUAUAUUAAAGUUGUUGCAGUUAAAAAGCUCGUAGUUGGAUUUCUGAUCGAGACAUCAGGUCGGGUCCGAGAGGAUCAUGUACUUUGAUUUUGUUUUGAUCAUCCUUGGGGAGAGCAUUUCUGGCAUUCAGUUGUCGGGAUUGGGAUCCUCAUCGUUUACUGCGAAAAAAUUAGAGUGUUCAAAGCAGGCCUCGGCCUCUGAAUACAUUAGCAUGGAAUAAUAAGAUAGGACUUUGGUGGUCUAUUUUGUUGGUUUGCACGCCAAAGUAAUGAUUAAUAGGGAUAGUUGGGGGUAUUCGUAUUCAAUUGUCAGAGGUGAAAUUCUUGGAUUUAUGGAAGACGAACUACUGCGAAAGCAUUUACCAAGGAUGUUUUCAUUAA
rnacentral:rRNA from 1 species